UUUUAACUGUGAUGACACCUCAGUAAAAUGUUAUGCAACUUCGGUGUCUUUUAAAUAUUCUGUGAUACUUUCAGAGGAAAUUUUCCAGUACAUAAAAUCAUCUCUUGUGUUACCCGAGAGAAUGACAACGCUGUUUUAAAAAUUACACUGAAAUUCCUAGAAAAUCAAACCAAACCAAAAACCUCACUGUUUUUUAUUUUCCUGGUAAAUAAAUAUUUUUUCUUUGUCAUAUUUAGGUUGUGGUGAGAGUUACGUAAUAUGUCUGAGAGUACAUUAUUUACCAUAAAUCUUUGUACAGACACUCCUAUUUUUAUUAGCUAUUUUCAAAAUAUCAGAAACUAAUAAUUCCCCUUCAUUUCCACAGAGCAAUAGUGAUCCUAGACCAAAUUCUUUCUUUUUCUCUCCAAAUUGGUUAUGAUCCUACUUCUUCAGGUUGGUCCACUAUAUUUAGGCAUGAAGGACAAGGAGAGACAAGCUGUCACUGGUCAACAGCAGCAGCAACAACAACAAAACAGAUACAAGGGCUUUUCAGGUAAUAUUUGAAUAUAUGAUUGUUCAGAAAUAAUUGAAAGAUAUAGGCUUGGCAGCUCUUUAGGGGUUGGAAGAAGACCAUGAAGCUCUAAGUGCUUCAGAGGAAUGGGGUUGCCAAAACAGAUGUGAGAGACACAGAGAGGAGGCUGGGCCAGUGCUGAAGGUAAAGAUCCAAUUCACCGUUCCGGCUAAACUUGAUCUUACCGGUAGUUUCAAUAAAAUAAAGUAACACCUAUUUCUCCUAAGAAUUUACUAUUGACUUUUUAAGAAGCAAAUAUACCAUUGGCUUAGAAAAUAAUGGGUUAUUGUUUUCCUUUUGAAUACAGUUUUCUUUUUCUUUUUUACUUUAUUUUUCAUACCUCCAAGCAGCACCAGAACAGAUGAAUUCAGUUUUCUGUGCAUGUAUUCUCCAGGGAGAGUCGGGGGAAAAUUUUUACUUUUGUAGUGGCUGGAAAGUAUAUGUUUCUUCAUAGCAAGGAAAAGUUGUGUAUGACACUUCAAAAGUAGAGUCCUUCAGUUCCUCCUGGGGACCAGCGUAGCAGCUGCUAUGA
rnacentral:lncRNA from 1 species